rnacentral:misc_RNA from 1 species
UACGGAGGGUGCAAGCGUUAACCGGAAUUACUGGGCGUAAAGCGCGCGUAGGCGGCUUGAUAAGCGAGAUGUGAAAGCCCCGGGCUUAACCCGGGAACGGCAUUUCGUACUGGCAGGCUCGAGUGUGGUAGAGGGUAGUGGAAUUUCCUGUGUAGCGGUGAAAUGCGUAGAUACAGGAAGGAACACCAGUGGCGAAGGCGGCUACCUGGACCAACACUGACACUGAGGUGCGAAAGCGUGGGGAGCAAACAGG